GUCUCUGAAAGAACCUAGUGGGGAAACCCCCACUCAACUCCCGAUUUGGCGUGCACCCAAGAAUCACGAAUAGAACA
rnacentral:pre_miRNA from 7 species